rnacentral:rRNA from 1 species
UGAGGAAUAUUGGACAAUGGGCGAAAGCCCGAUCCAGCAACGCCGCGUGGAGGAUGAAGGCCUUCGGGUCGUAAACUUCUUUAGAGGGAGACGAGAAAGGACGGUAUCCCUAGAAUAAGCGACGGCAAACUACGUGCCAGCAGCCGCGGUAACACGUAGGUCGCGAGCGUUAUCCGGAUUUACUGGGCGUAAAGCGCUUGUAGGCGGUUCUGUAAGUCGGGCGUGAAAUCUCCGGGCUUAACUCGGAGUG